GGUUUGCGUGAGGGAUAGCAGUGGUAAUCCUUUUGGGGAACUUUUUCUGUUCCCGAAAAGAUUGGAACGUCCCGAUAGCUA
rnacentral:sRNA from 1 species